rnacentral:rRNA from 1 species
GGAUGCGAUCAUACCAGCACUAAGGCACCGGAUCCCAUCAGAACUCUGAAGUUAAGCGUGCUUGGGCGAGAGUAGUACUAGGAUGGGUGACCUCCUGGGAAGUCCUCGCCCUUUUUAAUUU